UACGUAGGUGACAAGCGUUGUCCGGAUUUACUGGGCGUAAAGAGCGCGCAGGCGGUCGAUCAAGUCGAGUGUGAAAGCCCCCGGCUCAACUGGGGAGGGUCAUUCGAUACUGAUCGACUCGAAGGCAGGAGAGGGUAGUGGAAUUCCCGGUGUAGUGGUGAAAUGCGUAGAUAUCAGGAGGAACACCGGGGGCGAAGGCGGGUCUCUGGGCCGAUACUGACGCUGAGGAGCGAAAGCAUGGGUAGCGAACAGG
rnacentral:rRNA from 1 species